AUGCGCGGGCGUCGCUCCCGCUUUUCUCGGCGCGGAGGCUGAGCCCGGCAGGGAAGGAGGGGGGACCGGGGGCGGAUGCUCCAUCACCGGAGGUUCCUGGCUUUUGUACUCCGUGUCCUGGGCUUUCUAGAGAACCACCAAAGAAAGGCCACGCCAGGCUGCACUUUCAAAAGGAUGCUAGCUGGAUUGGGAACCCUGAUCCUUGCCCCGCCGCUCUCUUCUCAGUCCAGUAUUUCCCAACAAGCAUCGCCUGGGAGUUAGUUUUCCUUUUAUCCCACAAAAACUUUACCGCAGUUUUUUUUCUCUCCUCUGUUUCUUAACAAGAAGGACGACUUCUGAUGACUGCUUUCCGUUAAAUCUUCAAUUGAGAACUUUCAAGCACAUCAGUUAGCCCCCUCAGAGAAGAGCUGAGCAAGUUUCCAUCCCAUUCCAGCUGGGCAUGAGAGUUCCCAGUCUCUUCACUUGGAUUUCGGACCCUUCACGCUGCAACAGGACAGAGGGCAGGGGUGUCAGUUCUUGGUCACCCCUCAUCUCCCCACUUCCCUGCAUUCUAUUUGACAUUUACUUCAUUUGCUGUGUGCUUAGU
ensembl:lncRNA